CGUGUAGGCGGUAUGUUAAGUCUGAUGUGAAAGCCCGGGGCUCAACCCCGGAAGUGCAUUGGAUACUGGCAUACUUGAGUACGGGAGAGGAAAGUGGAAUUCCGAGUGUAGGGGUGAAAUCCGUAGAUAUUCGGAGGAACACCAGUGGCGAAGGCGGCUUUCUGGACCGAUACUGACGCUGAGACGCGAAAGCGUGGGGAGCAAACA
rnacentral:rRNA from 1 species